GCCUCUUCAAGUCCUACUCUCUCAUCUAAUUGCAGCUCGAAUGGUUGAUGUAAAAUAUUAGGUUGAUGAAUGUGUGGGGGAUAUUGGUGACUCUAAUCCUGCAGUGAAGGAUCCCAAUACCAAUGGUAAUCAAAAUCUGCCAUGUCAUUUAGUAAGUGAAUGGCAACCUCAUGGUUUCUUUGAAGAACGUGAUUACCGGUAGCUCAAGUUCAAUAAUCUACCCAAUUCCUUGUCACUUCAUCCAG
rnacentral:misc_RNA from 1 species